AUGAACGCUAGCUACAGGCUUAACACAUGCAAGUCGAGGGGCAGCAUGGUCUUAGCUUGCUAAGGCCGAUGGCGACCGGCGCACGGGUGAGUAACACGUAUCCAACCUGCCGUCUACUCUUGGACAGCCUUCUGAAAGGAAGAUUAAUACAAGAUGGCAUCAUGAGUCCGCAUGUUCACAUGAUUAAAGGUAUUCCGGUAGACGAUGGGGAUGCGUUCCAUUAGAUAGUAGGCGGGGUAACGGCCCACCUAGUCUUCGAUGGAUAGGGGUUCUGAGAGGAAGGUCCCCCACAUUGGAACUGAGACACGGUCCAAACUCCUACGGGAGGCAGCAGUGAGGAAUAUUGGUCAAUGGGCGAGAGCCUGAACCAGCCAAGUAGCGUGAAGGAUGACUGCCCUAUGGGUUGUAAACUUCUUUUAUAAAGGAAUAAAGUCGGGUAUGCAUACCCGUUUGCAUGUACUUUAUGAAUAAGGAUCGGCUAACUCCGUGCCAGCAGCCGCGGUAAUACGGAGGAUCCGAGCGUUAUCCGGAUUUAUUGGGUUUAAAGGGAGCGUAGAUGGAUGUUUAAGUCAGUUGUGAAAGUUUGCGGCUCAACCGUAAAAUUGCAGUUGAUACUGGAUAUCUUGAGUGCAGUUGAGGCAGGCGGAAUUCGUGGUGUAGCGGUGAAAUGCUUAGAUAUCACGAAGAACUCCGAUUGCGAAGGCAGCCUGCUAAGCUGCAACUGACAUUGAGGCUCGAAAGUGUGGGUAUCAAACAGGAUUAGAUACCCUGGUAGUCCACACGGUAAACGAUGAAUACUCGCUGUUUGCGAUAUACUGCAAGCGGCCAAGCGAAAGCGUUAAGUAUUCCACCUGGGGAGUACGCCGGCAACGGUGAAACUCAAAGGAAUUGACGGGGGCCCGCACAAGCGGAGGAACAUGUGGUUUAAUUCGAUGAUACGCGAGGAACCUUACCCGGGCUUAGAUUGCAGAUGAAUUACGGUGAAAGCCGUAAGCCGCAAGGCAUCUGUGAAGGUGCUGCAUGGUUGUCGUCAGCUCGUGCCGUGAGGUGUCGGCUUAAGUGCCAUAACGAGCGCAACCCUUGUUGUCAGUUACUAACAGGUUCCGCUGAGGACUCUGACAAGACUGCCAUCGUAAGAUGUGAGGAAGGUGGGGAUGACGUCAAAUCAGCACGGCCCUUACGUCCGGGGCUACACACGUGUUACAAUGGGGGGUACAGAGGGCCGCUACCACGCGAGUGGAUGCCAAUCCCCAAAACCUCUCUCAGUUCGGACUGGAGUCUGCAACCCGACUCCACGAAGCUGGAUUCGCUAGUAAUCGCGCAUCAGCCACGGCGCGGUGAAUACGUUCCCGGGCCUUGUACACACCGCCCGUCAAGCCAUGGGAGCCGGGGGUACCUGAAGUGCGUAACCGCGAGGAGCGCCCUAGGGUAAAACUGGUGACUGGGGCU
rnacentral:rRNA from 1 species